rnacentral:rRNA from 1 species
UCGGGAAUUUUGGGCAAUGGGCGAAAGCCUGACCCAGCAACGCCGCGUGAAGGAUGAAGUAUUUCGGUAUGUAAACUUCGAAAGAAUAGGAAGAAUAAAUGACGGUACUAUUUAUAAGGUCCGGCUAACUACGUGCCAGCAGCCGCGGUAAUACGUAGGGACCAAGCGUUGUUCGGAUUUACUGGGCGUAAAGGGCGCGUAGGCGGCAUGACAAGUCACUUGUGAAAUCUCUGGGCUUAACCCAGAACGGCCAAGUGAUACUGUCGCGCUAGAGUGCAGAAGGGGCAAUCGGAAUUCUUGGUGUAGCGGUGAAAUGCGUAGAUAUCAAGAGGAACACCUGAGGUGAAGACGGGUUGCUGGGCUGACACUGACGCUGAGGCGCGAAAGCUAGGGUAGCAAACGGGAUUAGAUACCCCAGUAGUCCCUGAGCGGGCUGGCAAGGCGCAU